rnacentral:rRNA from 1 species
CCAGAGAACUUAGCAGAGAUGCUUUGGUGCCUUCGGGAACUCUGAGACAGGUGCUGCAUGGCUGUCGUCAGCUCGUGUUGUGAAAUGUUGGGUUAAGUCCCGCAACGAGCGCAACCCUUAUCCUUUGUUGCCAGCGAUUCGGUCGGGAACUCAAAGGAGACUGCCGGUGAUAAACCGGAGGAAGGUGGGGAUGACGUCAAGUCAUCAUGGCCCUUACGGCCAGGGCUACACACGUGCUACAAUGGCGCAUACAAAGAGAAGCGACCUCGCGAGAGCAAGCGGACCUCAUAAAGUGCGUCGUAGUUCGGAUUGGAGUCUGCAACUCGACUCCAUGAAGUCGGAAUCGCUAGUAAUCGUAGAUCAGAAUGCUACGGUGAAUACGUUCCCGGGCCUUGUACACACCGCCCGUCACACCAUGGGAGUGGGUUGCAAAAGAAGUAGGUAGCUUAACCUUCGGGAGGGCGCUUACCACUUUGUGAUUCAUGACUGGGGUGAAGUCGUAACAAGGUAAGCGUAGAUGA